CAGGGAGCACAGGCUGAUGCAUGGGUGAACUAGAAUCCUGCAUGCCACAUGGUGCAGCCAGAAAAUUGAAAACAAAAUCUCUCCUACAGCGGCACCAUAUGUGACCUGGUUUCAUGACCCAGGCCCAUGUGGAGAUGGUGGUGCUUCAGUUUUAUAGAUUCCAACUCCAAGAUUACCAAAGAGUGAGAAGAAGAAUCUGAUUUUUUUGCUCCCAUCCGCACUUGGAGGGUAUGGCCCUCCUCUUUAAACUUGGACAAGACUUUGUGACAAUCUGGAUGGAGAGAAUGCAGUAAAGGAACACAGCAUGGCGUUCAAGCCAAGGACGGAAAAGAUCAUGCAGCUUUUGCCUGCCUUCUCUUGGGAUUCUGAGAAUCAACAUAUGCCGAGGAAGAAGCCUAACUAAUGCAAAUUCACUCUUUGGAGAGACCCCAAAGAGUAAAGGGAGAAAGAGAGAGAGAGAGAGAGAGAUGCCUGAGCUCCAGUUGGUCCUUUUGAGUCUUCUAGCUGAGGUACUACCAUGUAAGUGAAGAAGCUCUCAAGAAGAUGCCAGCCCUGGGACGUCGCUGGUAGUCCAGUAGCAAAGAUUUCAUGCUCCCAAUGCUGGGGCCCAGGUUCCAUUUCUGGUCCGGGAACUAGACCCCACAUGCUGGAACUACGAGUUCGCAUGUGGCAACUGAGUUCACAUGCCAGGGGUAAAAGAUCCCAUGAGCUACAACUAAGACCUGGUACAGCCAAACAAAUAAAUAUUACAAAAAAAAGGCGACCCCAGCCCUAACCCUUGUCUGCCUGCAUUUGUCUGAGACACCCUCAGCAUGAACCACCCGAGCCCAGUCAACCCUCAGAACCUUGAGGAAUAAUAAUAAUAAACUAUUGAUGUUUAAGGCUU